AUUAUAAUGCGCGUCCAUGGGUCAACGAUGCUGUUCGUAUUAACCCUAUCAAUUAGGUAAAGGUUUCGUGAGAAAAAAAAAAAAAAAAAGGGAAAGAAAGGAAAGAAGACUUCCCGUUGUAAUCCAUCUGCGGCUCAGAAGCCAUAACUUCCAAACCGAUUCACGGGGCAUUACGUUCAACUGGGUAACUGCAUUUCUCGAAUUGGCCUCCACCAUCGGAGGAGACCGGCCAUGACUACCUCUACUGCCUCCAAGGCUCUCUCCACCCCGUUCGAUUUCUCGCCCGAUUUGCCGCCGAGACUCGCUCUCACCCCCGAUCAGUUCGGCCGCUGCUCCGAAGCUCUAGGGUUCUUCCGGGAGAGGCUUUCUAUGCCACAGACUAUCAACCAGGAAUUCGCUCGCUUGCUGGCCAGUAGGAUAACCCCAUCUGAGAUGAGGAGAAACUGUACUGUGGCUCUUAACGGCGUCAAUUUGAACAAGAACCGCUAUACGGAUGUCUUACCAUUUGACAAGAGUAGGGUUGUUCUUAACUCAUGUAAGGAUUACAGACCGGCAGCAAAUGGCUACAUAAAUGCGAGCCUUGUCAUGGCUUCUUCCUUCGAAAAUGUUUCUCAAUUUAUUGCCACUCAAGGCCCACUACCGCAUACCUAUGAGGAUUUUUGGGAGAUGGUGAUCCAGUACCGUUGCCCUGUGGUUGUGAUGUUGACAAGGUUGGUGGACAAUUACAAGAUGGUAAAAUGUGGAGAUUAUUUCCAGGCGGAAGAUGGUCCCAGGGAAUUUGGUAAUAUAACUAUAGCUACUAAAUGGAUAAGAAAUACAGAAACUUCGUUAGUGUUACGCCUAUUGGAGGUAAACUAUAAUGAGUCAGAGGAGGCACCCAUAUCUGUUCUUCAUGUUCAGUACCCAGAGUGGCCUGAUCAUGGAGUUCCAAAGGACACAUUUGCUGUGCGUGAAAUUUUAAAAAGAAUAUAUAAUGUGCCACCUAAUCUUGGUCCCAUAGUGGUCCACUGCAGUGCAGGUAUUGGGAGAACUGGAACAUAUUGCACCAUUCAUAACACGAUCCAAAGAAUCCUUGCUGGAGACAUGUCUGCUUUAGACCUUGUUAAUACCAUAACUAUGUUUAGGUCUCAGAGAAUUGGAAUGGUCCAAACACAGGAUCAAUAUCUUUUCUGCUAUAAGGCAAUCAUUGACGAAUUGGAAGACCUAAUCUCAGAGUUCAAUACUCGGAGCUCAAAAUGCUAGGUCGAUAAUCGUUUCUCAUCCAUACUACCAAUGGUCAAUAAGGUUGAGAGAAGUCCAGCUGCCUGCAUAUUUCUUCAAAGUUGAAUAAACAAGGGAUUCACUAUGCUUCUUCCUGGAAGUUUUUGUUAUUCAGCAGCUGGAUCUGGUUCCUUAUGCUGAACAACUAAUAUCUCCUCAAAUCCAGCUGAAGUUCGGAAUGAUUCAUAUGGCCUCUAUUUCAAGUUCUCAUGAUUCCUCGCAGUUAAUUAGAAAAAUGAACAGACUUACAGCCAUUGCAGGCUUCGGGGCAUUAAUGACAGUUUGAAGUUUCUGUUUUCUGUUAAGGCCGGAGCUUUGUGCAUAUAGAUUACUAGCUCAGGUGAUAUUCUCAACCUACCUGAUAGAAAAGAUGGAGAGUAAUUCUUAUAUCUAAUAUUUCUGCAUUAUUUCAAUAUAUUAGAUAUUGUUUUCUUUGGUUCACAUUUCAAGGAGGUUCGUGCUUAACACGAAAUUAUUUACUUUUGUGCAUUACUAUUUACUUGUGAGAAAUUAUAUUUGCAAUCGAGCUAGAUACAUGAGUAAUGAGAGAUUAUUUAGGCA